rnacentral:miRNA from 1 species
AGAAAUCUGUCAGGGCGUGGGCGCUGGCUUAUCAAUGACGCA